CACGCGUUUAUCCUCUCCGGUUUCGAUUUCUUUGGGUGCUUCGGUUCUCUCUCUCCCCAUCAUCAGCUUUUCCUUAUUUUGUUUGACUCCUGCUCUCCCCGUCUCCCUCCUCGCCUCACUCUUCUCUGCACCAAGCAGCUCGAUUUAGGGCUUCACCAUUUCUCUUCGAAUCAAGGUCUCUAUUUCUCUCCCUAUUUUCCGAAUCUAGGUUUCCUAUCUGUCUGUGGAAAACCCUAGAUCUCGCCACUGCCGGAGAGUCCAAGCUCGGCCCUUCGAGCUUCAAUCUGCCUUGCAGAUCGGCUCUUCUCGGCGCCUCCACCUAAACCCCUCUGCAGAAGGAAGCUAGGAGGUGCAGCAACUGGAAGUCGGAUUUCACUCCUGUCAUUGCAAUUAGAUCAGGUUCUGGCUGAUUUGAUCUGAGCAUGCACAUGACUCCGUUUGAAGCAUCACCAGGAACUAGAAAAUUAAACACUUACAACACAGCUGUUAAAGACGUUAAAGUAUUUCAAUUUGGCUAUUGGCAAAUAUGUUUGGUGUUUUAUGGCGAGAGAUGGUUGGUUUCUGCUUCUAAUUAUGUUAGCAGGAGGUACAUGAGUGAUCACUGCGACGGUUGGUGGACCUCAACAAGAGCAUAUCCAGGAGCUUAUUCGUUAUCUGCAAUUUGGACUCUGAUGGCUGGCUCUUGGUGUAGCAUCAUCUAUUGGUCUUGCAUAUCCAGGAGCUUAUUCGUUAUCUGCAAUUUGGACUCUGAUGGCUGGCUCUUGGUGUAGCAUCAUCUAUUGGUCUUGGUUGUGAUACACUCAUAAAAAGCAUACGAUUUCUUCAGAAAAUUGGCAAUUGACUCAUCAGGAAAUGCAGAGAGAAGACGUUCCCAGUAGGUUUAGCAGAAAUACCAAAGGAAAUGAGGCAAUCCAAAUCAAUGGCAUACAGAGUGUUCGGAACUCAACGAAAAAUGAGAAAGGAGCUGUAGUUGAUUAGAAAGAGCAACAGUGAUUCAACAAAAAUUCUCCCCAAUGCUGAUUUGCUUACGGCGGUGUUUAAGGUAAAUUUUGCUCCCUUCCAAAAUAAUUUUCAAUGAAUUAUGUCUUCUGAGUAGUAUUGAAGCCAGACAUUGUAUCUUUGAGAAAGUUUAUGUAUAGUUUCUGCAAAAGUUUAGUUUGGAAGUAGUAUAUAUCUGUAUGUGGAGUUUUGCUUUUUUCCACUGUGAAAUCAAACCCCUCUAUCCAGUCUCUUACAUUCUUGAUAUGCUCAUCCCCCGAAAUCUUCCUUUCUCAUCUAAAGGCAGAUCAGAGAAUUCAACAUUCUCAGUGGUCAAAUUUUUUACCCAAGGUGGGUCUCGAGUCAAUCAGCGGUAUGCCUUCAGCUUUGAAUGAGAGCUUUGGCAUGUACUCGGGAUCUAGGGGAUAGUUGGUUCAACCUCUCCCGUGGAAUAAAGUUUGUAGAAGGUUGCUGAUCUACCUAUGCUGCCACCAAAAUAAUGUAUGUAAAAAGUUGCUGAUCAACGAUAAUAGGUAGCUUGCAAUUUUUUUUUUAAUGUAUCUUAUUAAAUGGAUUUGAGAGCUGCGAUAUUACUGAAUUAUUUUAACAAUUUACAUUAGUAGCUUUUACUUUUUCACAUUGUUACCGAGAAGCAUGAAUAUCAUAAAAAAUAAAAGAAGUUCUGAAGUGAUGAUCGAAGAAUUUAAAACUGCUGAUUAGUGUAUGUGUGCAAAUACUGUAAACAGGAAUACGAAUCCAUAAUUGAAUCCCUAUUUUGGUUGUACAUGUGUGUAGAAUUUUUUACAUAUUUUAUACGCUUUAAAAACCCGCAGCAACGCGCGGGUACUUAUACUAGUAAUAUACUAUUUGUUGGAAAAUAUUGGUAUAUUAUGAUUAUUUGAGUUUGUUUGUUAGUUAGUAUAUCGGUCUAUCCCAUCCGAAUUAAACUUUCUAGGUUUUGCUUUCUAUAAAUAUAUCUUAUGGUUUAGCAUGAAUAAUAAGCCAUUCACAUUGUAGGUUUUGCUUUCUAGGUUUUGCUUUCUAUAAAUAUAUCUAAUAGUUGUGCAUUCUGAUAUUCAACUUGGUAUCAAAGCAGGUUUGAUUUCGAGACUUAAUCUGUUCUUGAUAGGUAUUCAUGUUGUUUGUUUGAUAUUAGUAUUCAGUAUUAGUUUUGAAAAAAAAAAGAAAUUUGAAUCAGUUUGCUGCAUCAUGUCAUCAUCCUCUGCUACACAUCGAAACAUCACCGCAUCCCGCCGACCGAGAUCUUGUGUACUCGCAACAUCGACCGCCAUUGGUUUUGACGAAGCCCAGACUCGAGAACCACAAACUCGGAUCCAGUUCGUCUCCACCUUGGAUCACUGCCGUUGUUUCUGACUCGCACGCCGCUGCACCAUGAACCAGACCCGCAUCGUACCCACACCCCACUGCCUGCCUGAACUUUCCGCUGCAUCGUCACCACGCCACCAAGUCCCUCCUGCAACCUCGCUAUCUGACCACCACAUGCUAUAAACCCACAUCGCUUGCUGCCUUGCCUUCACACUCUGGAGCCUGCGUGUUUUAUUGCUUGUCUUGCUAAUCUAAAGGAAAAAAAUUCAUUUGCUUAAGUCACUGUUAUUUAGUUGUUUAAAAAGUGUGAUGUUGCACUUGUUCGCCCAGAAGAAAAGAGAAGGAAAGAAAAAAGAAUAAGAGAGAAAAAAAAGAGAGAAAAAAGAAGGAAAAAGAAAAAAAUUGUUUGGAGUUUUUGAGGCCCACACAAGUUGUUAGCUUGUUUGAGAUUGUUUUGUGACUGUCACUCGAGUGUUUGGAAUUGUGACCACUCAAGUGAUAGUGUUUGUGUUUGUUCGGUCGUAGUUACAAUUGAGAUAUGGAAAUCUCGUCCGUUUAGUAACGGGUUCUUUCCAUAUUCUUAACUCUAGCCAAUCAGAACCAGAAUCAGUUUGCCAUCAAGAAUGAAGAAUCAGUUUGCCAGUUAAGUCAAGUUUGCAUGCCUACCAGUCCGCAUCUGCUUGUUUGUAAACUCAUGUCGUAACCGUCAUGAGUUUGACGGGGGGUGUUGGAAAAUAUUAGUAUAUUACUAUUAUUUGAGUUUGUUUGUUAGUUCGUAUAUGGGUCUAACCCAUCCGAAUUAGGGUUUCUAGGUUUUGCUCUCUAUAAAUAGAGCUUAUAGUUUAGCAUGAAUAAUAAGUCAUUCAC